AGAUGGAGUGGAGGAAGAACAAGAAGAAAAUAUAUCUGGAAGGUUGAUCGUUUUCAUAAGGGAGAGAAAGUGAGGCAUUUAUUGCAGGGCACCAAGAAAGGAGAAUUGUGCAGUUCGUCCUGAAGACCCAGACUCCCUGAAGUCUUACAUGAUAUUCCAGACUUGUGCUUCCCUUGCCCCAGUCUUGGAAUCACCCAUUUUGAUUGCACAAAUUCUAUCAAUACAUCUUGAAGCUUGCUCUUUCUUCUACCAGUUCAAAUCCACUGCUGAGUCCCUCUAAGAGCAUUUCGUGGGCUUAUUGGAGAUAUCCUCAGAUUGCUCAUCAUCACUUACCUACUGCACUCUACACCAUGUAAGAAGUGUCUUUCACCUCCCGCCGUGAUUCUGAGGCCUCCCCAGCCGUGUGGAAUUAUGUGCUGGAAAAUGUGCCAGCUAUAUUCCCCUGGCUGUCCCAUGUUGCAGUAUCAGUGAAGACCAACGGGAAGAAGUGAGGGGACUGAGGCUGAAGUCUGAGUCAAGGCACAUCCAUGUUAUACCUACGUGAAUGAAGACUUCUGGGACUUGUCAAUAAAGAAAUGUCUAAAAUAAGAGUUCAGACAAAGAGAAUUUGAAGUGGGUCCAGGAGGUUUCCUAUAGAUAUACAAAUGUCGUAUUUCAAUUUCCUGCUAAGGUAAGCAUUGCAGUAUCCCUAGUAGUUGCAGCAUUCAGCCUUUGCUGAAAUGUUUUAAUUAAAGCAAUCAGUUUUUUUGUGUGUUUCCCAUAAUUAUAUUAUCUGAAAGCUAUCCUAGAAGGCUUUCUCAUGAAGACCAGAAAUUUGGAUGCUGUACUCAAAAGAGGGAUUACCAAAAAUGCUUAGAGGAUGGACCAUUCAAUGAGCCACCAUAAGGAAAAGGAAGAUACCAUUUAAAAUUCCAGAGUCCGAGGAAUAGCAACUAUGCUUUCAAACAAAACACUCUGUCACUAGUACUUGACAGCAAAAGGCGGGAAAUGGGAGAAUGCCUGAAGAUGGAGAUAAAAUUCUGUGAGGAAAGAAGAGAGUCUAGGAAGGAAGAACAGGGAGAGGCAUACAUGGCCCCUAGUUGAAAAAGGGCCCGAACAGCAUUUGUUUUCACAUCAGGAGUACAGGUUCUGCUGUGUUUCUGGAGUCCAAUGCAUCAUAUGUAAGGUAGGGCUGGCGGCUGUAACAGAGCAUCUGCAGAUGCUGUGGGCUUGAAAUGGGUGUUCGUUACAACCGCUUCUCAAGAUUACUCACAUCAUACUCCAUCUGCUUCUGGCAUCUUAGUUGACAGAAUGUAUCAGAUGCAUUUAAUAAAGCAAGUGCAAAAAAAUGUAAAGAGAGAUAUUUAAAUAUGUGUAAAGAAUCUUAUAUUGAAAUUAAUUUCUAUUCAUUCUGUAUCUUUCAACCAUUACUAUUUGCCUUGAU